rnacentral:lncRNA from 1 species
AAAUAAUUGCAAACAUGAGGGGUAGUUUGGGGAUAUCCGGAUGGUCUGUCGGAGACUAUGCUACUGAGCCUGUUGGGCUGUGGCAGCUGGAGUCCUCCAGAGGCACCAGAGAGAUGUGCCGGCCGCAUUGCUAGAGAGACACAGAGCCGGCUCGGCUGCAGCCCGGAGUCCUGACGGCAGGAAGUGGGGGCACGCCCACCAGGCGAGGCCCCUGGCUUCUCCGGACUGGAGAGCUGGGCCUCCGGUCUACGGUGGGAUUUUUCACUGGGUCAGCUACGUCUUUAUUGUGCUUGUUCCUUGAACUUUUGGGCUGUUAGCAGUUAAGACAAUCAUUCACUGAGUGCCCCCUGUAUUCCAAGUGCUGGGGUGCGAUCGCAGUAAGAUACGUUCUGGGCCCGCGGGACGUCUUAGCAUCCCAGUACAUCUCCGUGCAUUCCGCAGGACAUCCACCAGUAUUUGUUGAAUACCAGCCUUUAAGGUCAACAUGGAUGAAGUUUUGCAGGACUCUGCUCCUGAAAAUGGAGACAGCCUUGUGAAAGUGAAGGAGGAAGAUCCCACAUGGGAACAGACAUGCAGCUCACAGGAGAGUGGCUCCCACACUCGGGAGCUUUGCCGCCUGCGCUUCCGGCAGUUCUGCUACCAGGAGGUACCUGGGCCCCGGGAGGCUCUAGCCCAGCUCCGAGAACUUUGCCAUCAGUGGUUGAGCCCAGAGACCCACAGCAAGGAGCGGAUCCUGGAGCUGCUGGUGCUGGAGCAGUUCCUGACCAUCCUGCCCGAGGAGCUCCAGGCCAGGGUGCAGGCGUGCUCUUUGGAGAGUGGGGAGGAUGCAUUGAUAGCGCUGGAGAGUCUAGAGAGAGACGCAGGAGACUCAGAACAGGCUUCUGUCUACACUCUAGGACAGGACUUGCACCUACUGGUGACAGAAUGUCAAGGAACCUCUUCGGAGGGUCAGAGCCCCCAGCUCCUGUUGGGGGUAACCACCCUGAAGAGUGAGCCUCCAGAGUCUCCCCAAGAGACUGCCCAAGAAGUGAGUGGACUCUUGUCUGCUCCGUCCACAAGGCCUGCUCCCCAGAGACCAGACCCUCUCCAGGAAGAGAAUCCCAGAGACCAGGCUGCAGUACUGGGGUUGAACUCAGCCAGGUCCCAGACAUCAGUGAAGACUGAGGAAGCAGCGCCGGUCCUUGUCUCAGAGGAGUGGCCAGUUCCGAGUCUGGCUCAGGAGAAGAUUACAAACAUCAGUCUCAUGGCUGAAGAAGGUGUAACUAAAGAUGGAUUUUUAAACACAAAGCAAGAAACUUCUGAAGAAAUGGAACAAGGUGCUGAGGCCUCAGGAAUAGCCAACAGAGACUGUGUAUCCCAGAACCCUUGUGGUACCCCUGUUCCUGUUGAAAGGACACUUGUGCAUUUGAACACUCUCAAGGACCGUCAUCCGGGUGAUUUGUGGGCUCGGAUGCACAUCUCCUCCGUGGAAUAUGCUGCAGGAGACAUUACCCGAAAAGGGAGGAAGAAAGACAAAGCUCGAGUGAGUGAACUGCUCCAAGGCCUUGCAUUUUCUGGUGAUUCAGAUGUGGAAGAGGAUAACAGGCCUGAGACCCAGCCUGCUCCAAAAAGGCUAAAAAGGUCAGGUGUCCCAGAGAAGAACUGGACCAAAAGAGAUAUUAAACCCAACUUUCCAUGCUGGUCAGCACUGGAUUCUGGACUUUUGAAUCUCAAGAAUGAAAAGUUGAACCCAGUAGAGUUCUUUGAGUUAUUUUUUGAUGAUGAAACAUUCAACCUGAUUGUCAGUGAAACCAAUAAUUAUGCUUCUCAGAAAAAUGUCAACUUGGAAGUCACAGUUCAGGAAGUGAGGUGUGUGUUUGGUGUCCUGCUUUUGAGUGGACUCGUGCGGCGUCCCAGCAGGGGAAUGUACUGGGAAAUGUCUGAUGCUGACCAGAACCUGGUUAGAGAUGCAAUCAGAAGGGAUAGAUUUGAAUUGAUUUUCUCAUACCUGCAUUUUGCAGAUAAUAGCCAUCUAGAUCAGAAUGAUAAGUUCACAAAAUUGAGGCCUCUCAUAAAGCAAAUGAAUAAAAAUUUUCUCCUAUAUGCUCCCCUUGAAGAAUACUACUGUUUUGAUAAGACAAUGUGUGAGUGCUUUGAUAGUGACCAAUUUCUGAAUGGUAAAUCUGUUAGAAUUGGCUAUAAAAUCUGGUGUGGUGCUACGACAGAGGGUUAUCUGGUUUGGUUUGAGCCUCAUCAAGAAGAAGCAACUCUGAUGGCAGGUAAGGAUCCUGAUCUUGGUUUCGGUGGAAACCUCGUGAUGAAUUUUGCUAAUGUUCUUUUAGCAAGGGGUCAGUAUCCAUAUCACCUGUGCUUCGAUGGCUUCUUUACAAGUGUCACAUUGGUGUCGGCCUUGAAGAAGAAAGGGGUGAGGGCAACAGGGACAAUUCGUGAGAGCAGGACUGAAAAAUGCCCCCUUAUGAGUGCAGAACAUAUGAAAACAAUGAAGAAGGGGUACUGUGAUUUCCGAGUAGAAGAAAAUGAUGAGAUAAUUUUGUGUCGUUGGCAUGGUGAUGGUAUUAUCAGUCUGUGUUCCAAUGCUGUUGGCAUAGAGCCAGUCAAUGAGAUACACUGUUUUGCCAGUGACAAGGAGAUCCCUCAGAUAAGUCAACCAUCCAUAGUGAAACUGUAUGAUGAAUGCAGGGAAGGUGUAGCUAAAAUGGAGCAGAUCACUUCCAAAUACAGGGUGAGAAUAAGAAGCAAGAAAUGGUACUCAGUUUUGGUGAGCUAUAUGAUUGACAUAGCCAUGAGCAAUGCAUGGCAGCUACACAGAGCCUGUAACCCAGGCGCCUGUCUAGACCUCGGGGAUUUUCGGAGAUACGUUGCACAUUUCUACUUGGAGCAGAAUGCGAAUAUGUCAGAUUAA